ensembl:lncRNA
GUCCUCUUGGAGUUUUGAUUUCGAUAUUCCUGUCUCGGCUGACCUUUCCUGUCUUUCCCAUCCCACGUACAGCGACAUUGAUUUGGGUUCUUCAUGGAAAAGGGCUCAGGAGUGAGAUGACCCAGAUUUGAGUCCUGGCUCCAGCUGCCUUUCCAGGGCGGCCCAUUGUGGAGUGAAAAUAUGAACAACGGACUUGGCAGGGCUGCAGAGAGGUGAGAGAAGGGUGAGGGGAGAAUGUACCCCCUCUCCCCACAUCUGCAUGACUCCCCCAUGUCUCUCUGGGGGUGCUGCUCCUCCCAUCUUGUUGGAUAGGAGACACCACUGGGGGUGAAAAGAUUCAGGCCUCCUGCCCCAGGGGGCCUGGUGGCUCAUGCAUAACUCAAAGACAUGAUGCAUAAAUGGUACAUCUCAGGUAUAUUUGAGUUGUUGUGUGGGUUUUUCUGGGAGGGCCUCUCAAAUUCCACCAGGCAGGAGGUUUUCCACUGGCCUCUGACUUAGGGGAUCCUGGCAGCCCAGCCUGGCUGGGCCAGAUCACCUAGUCUGCUCCUGGGAAACCUACCCUGCAAGUGGGAGCCAGGCAGGACUUCCCAUAUGCAGCCCCUGCACUGAUGGGGAGUGUGUGGAUGUGGAAAGGGGUGCAGCUGGAUGGUAGUCCAGGGGGACAGGAACUCAGGUUCCCAGUGCCCAGGCCCACAGGCCUGGGCCAUUCUCCCUGCAUCUUCCAGCCCCACUGUCCUCCCUGAGUACCCAGGCCACAGGGCAGGCAAGGGUGAACUCCUGGGUGGAUUCUGGGUCCAGGAGAGGCCUCCCCACUACUCCACUUCCCUCUGGGGAUCUGAGAGCUGGAACUGGCAGCACCUGGUAGAUCAGAGUCAGUCACUGGGCCCUAAGAAAGUACAGGCCAAGGGAGAGGCUGGGAGUGCUUGGAGCACCCACUGCCAGGCUCCCACCAGGGUCCCCAAUCUAUGCUGCCUGGUGGUAAGUUUGGGCUUCCACCCCACUUGCUCCAUUCCCCCCUCCUCCCCACCUCCUCUCUCUGCCUGGAACCAGCGGCCUGGCUUAGGGUCCGCUCUGCUGGAAGCCCUGGCCUCUGUACUCUGGGCCUCCCCACACCAUCUACACAGCAGGGCUGGACAGACCUUCUUUCCUUCUUCAGGAUCCAGUGUAGGGGUGGAUUAGAAUGGACUUUGGGUGGGGUUAGGUGUGGUGUCGAGGGGCUCUGAGGGACAGAGGAGGCACCUGCUGGCUGCCUGCACCCCUCACUCAAGCAUCCAUCCUGAACCAGGCAGACUCGACUCCCAAGUAACCUCAAAGGUGAGGGUCCUCACCCUGGGCCACCCUGGUCACUGCUGGGGGUGGCCUGGCACAGCGCUUUGAAGAAUCAGUUUGGGGUCAGAUGAGCCUGGCCCAGUGACCUUAAGUAGAUUCCCUAACUUCUUGUAACCUCAUUGGGAAAUGGGGAUGAUAGCAAUGCCUUCCUAAGAGCGCCCACGAGGGCAAUAAUAAUAGCGUGUGGGAGCACUGAGCACGGCUCUGUGUACCUGGAAAGGCUCUGUGGUGUCAUCAUCAUGAGUGUCACUCCCCCAGGUCAUAUCCCUGCACACUGCGCCAAGGGGCCCUGGGAGGCUGGGCUCUCUGGGCCUGCUCCUUCUCCAGAUUUUUUUUUUUUUUUUUUUUUUUUUUUUUUUUUUU